UACGAAGGGGGCUAGCGUUGCUCGGAUUGACUGGGCGUAAAGGGCGCGUAGGCGGCGGACACAGUCAGACGUGAAAUUCCUGGGCUCAACUCCGGAUCUGCGGUGGGUACGGGCAGACUAGAGUGAUGUAGGGGAGACUGGAAUUCCUGGUGUAGCGGUGAAAUGCGCAGAUAUCAGGAGGAACACCGGUGGCGAAGGCGGGUCUCUGGGCCGAUAUUGACGCUGAGGAGCGAAAGCGUGGGGAGCAAACAGG
rnacentral:rRNA from 1 species